UGGUGGAAUACUAUGAUAGUUUGGCUGCAGCUGAAAAUGGCAGAGUUGCUGAACCUGUAGCUUCUUGAAUGUAUCAUCUUUGAGAAAGUGAACUAAAACAUAUUUGGGGUAGAAAAAUCAACUUUUUUUCUCCCCAGUAUGUGGUUUCUGAAGAUUAUUUUUGACAUUAAGACAAAUAAUAAUAGUGAAGCAUGGUAUAGGUUGAGGGAAAAAGUUUCUCCAUCUUGUAAAUUAUAGUGCUAAAUUUAUCCACACAUUAUGGAAAUUGAGUUUCAAGUUCAGGAUGGAUGGACUAUGUAGUAUAGAGGUUGG
rnacentral:misc_RNA from 1 species